AGAGUUUGAUCAUGGCUCAGAAUCAACGCUGGCGGCGCGCUUAACACAUGCAAGUCGAACGAGAAAGUGGAGCAAUCCAUGAGUAAAGUGGCGUACGGGUGAGUAACACGUGGGUAAUCUACCUCUGGGUGGGGAAUAACCCUGGGAAACCGGGGCUAAUACCGCAUAAGCCUGGAAAGGGAAAGGCGAAAGUCGCCGAGAGAGGAGCCCGCGGCCGAUUAGCUAGUUGGUAGGGUAAAGGCCUACCAAGGCGAUGAUCGGUAGCCGGCCUGAGAGGGCACACGGCCACACUGGCACUGAAACACGGGCCAGACUCCUACGGGAGGCAGCAGUGGGGAAUCUUGCACAAUGGGGGCAACCCUGAUGCAGCGACGCCGCGUGAGCGAUGAAGCCCUUCGGGGUGUAAAGCUCUUUCGGCUGGAACGAUGAUGACGGUACCAGCAGAAGAAGCUGCGGCUAACUACGUGCCAGCCGCCGCGGUAAUAC
rnacentral:rRNA from 1 species